GACGAACGCUGGCGGCGUGCUUAACACAUGCAAGUCGAACGGAAAGGCCCUGCAUUUGUGGGGUGCUCGAGUGGCGAACGGGUGAGUAACACGUGAGUAACCUGCCCUUGACUUUGGGAUAACUUCAGGAAACUGGGGCUAAUACCGGAUAGGAGCUCCUGCUGCAUGGUGGGGGUGGGAAAGGUUCGGCGGUUUGGGAUGGACGCGCGGCUUAUCAGCUUGUUGGUGGGGUAGUGGCUUACCAAGGCGUUGCCGGGUAGCCGGCCUGGGAGGGUGACCGGCCCCAUUGGGACUGAGAGACGGCCCAGACUCCAACGGUAGGCAGCAGUGGGGAAUAUUACACAAUGGGCGGGAGCCUGAUGCAGCGACGCCGCGUGCGGGAUGACGGCCUUCUGGUUGUAAACCGCUUUCUCCUGUGACGAAGCGUGAGUGACGGUAAUUGGUAAAGAAGCACCGGCUAACUACGUG
rnacentral:rRNA from 1 species